rnacentral:rRNA from 1 species
GUCCACGCCGUAAACGAUGGGUACUAGGCGCCGGGGGAGCGACCCCUUCGGUGCCGUCGCUAACGCAAUAAGUACCCCGCCUGGGGAGUACGGCCGCAAGGCUGAAACUCAAAGGAAUUGACGGGGGCCCGCACAAGCGGUGGAGCAUGUGGUUCAAUUCGAAGCAACGCGAAGAACCUUACCUGGGCUUGACAUGCACGGGAAAGCCGGUGGAAACAUCGGCCCCUCUUCGGAGUCCGUGCACAGGUGCUGCAUGGCUGUCGU